GAUGAACGCUAGCGGCAGGCCUAACACAUGCAAGUCAGGGGUGACAUGAAAAGCUUGCUUUUCUGAUGACGACCGGCGCACGGGUGCGUAACGCGUAUACAACCUACCUUUUAGCGGGGAAUAGCCCAGGGAAACUUGGAUUAAUGCCCCAUAGUAUAUGGACUUCUCCUGAAGGUUUAUAUUAAACAUUUAUGGCUAUUAGAUGGGUAUGCGUCCUAUUAGUUAGUUGGUAAGGUAACGGCUUACCAAGGCAGCGAUAGGUAGGGGUCCUGAGAGGGAGAUCCCCACACUGGUACUGAGACACGGACCAGACUCCUACGGGAGGCAGCAGUGAGGAAUAUUGGACAAUGGGCGAGAGCCUGAUCCAGCCAUGCCGCGUGCAGGAAGACUGCCCUAUGGGUUGUAAACUGCUUUUACAGAGGAAGAACCACCCCACGUGUGGGGGUUUGACGGUACUCUGCGAAUAAGGAUCGGCUAACUCCGUG
rnacentral:rRNA from 1 species